ACGGGAGGCAGCAGUGGGGAAUAUUGCACAAUGGGGGAAACCCUGAUGCAGCGACGCCGCGUGAGUGAAGAAGUAUUUCGGUAUGUAAAGCUCUAUCAGCAGGAAAGAAAAUGACGGUACCUGACUAAGAAGCCCCGGCUAACUACGUGCCAGCAGCCGCGGUAAUACGUAGGGGGCAAGCGUUAUCCGGAUUUACUGGGUGUAGAGGGAGCGUAGACGGUAAGGCAAGUCUGAAGUGAAAUGCCAGGGCUCAACCCUGGAACUGCUUUGGAAACUGUCCUACUAGAGUGCAGGAGAGGUAAGUGGGAUUCCUAGUGUAGCGGUGAAAUGCGUAGGUAUUAGGAGGAACACCAGUGGCGAAGGCGGCUUACUGGACUGUAACUGACGUUGAGGCUCGAAAGCGUGGGGAGCAAACAGGAUUAGAUACCCUGGUA
rnacentral:rRNA from 1 species